rnacentral:sRNA from 1 species
UCUUUAACUUGAACAUCUUCCCAUGACAUAUUAUAUCAUUUGAAUAAAAUAUAUUUUAUGUAUUUGUUCUAGUUGGAAUAUGAGAGAUGACUUUCCAAAAUUUGUCAUAAUUU